AACGCGAAGAACCUUACCAGGGCUUGACAUGCGCGGUGCACCUGCGGAGACGUGGGGUCCUUUACGGGUCGCGCACAGGUGGUGCAUGGUUGUCGUCAGCUCGUGUCGUGAGAUGUUGGGUUAAGUCCCGCAACGAGCGCAACCCUCGUCCUGUAUUGCCAGCACGCUUCCGUCUUCGGGUGGGGGUGGUGGGGACUUGCGGGAGACUGCCGGGGUCAACUCGGAGGAAGGUGGGGACGACGUCAAAUCAUCAUGCCCCUUAUGUCCUGGGCUGCACGCAUGCUACAAUGGCCGGUACAGAGGGCUGCGAUACCGUGAGGUGGAGCGAAUCCCGUAAAGCCGGUCUCAGUUCGGAUCGGGGUCUGCAACUCGACCCCGUGAAGUCGGAGUCGCUAGUAAUCGCAGAUCAGCAACGCUGCGGUGAAUACGUUCCCGGGCCUUGUACACACCGAUACUC
rnacentral:rRNA from 1 species